AGACUACACCAGACAGCAGAGGGAGCAGUGCUUCAAGAAUGGGCCUUUGACGUGCAGUAAGAAAGUUGGCGUUUGGCCGCAGCGAUGUGGAUGUGUAGCCAGUGUUUCUGGCGUACGUCCUAGAUCCUUCUAUCAAGAGGAGAGACCAACCAGUUGGGGAAAAGGAAAACCAUUUUUUCAUAAACAUAUUGUUUGCAGCUGUAGCCUAUACCAGUUCCCUUUUUUAUUUGCUGCAAGAAUUGGAUAUGAUGCUCCGGACCAGAAAUGUGGUGUGUUUGUGUUGUCCUUAUAUUGACGUAGAUUCCUUCUCCCAAAUAAAAGAUUAGCCAAAGAUAAUGUUUGAGUAAUACAUUCAUUUAUUGAAACACAUUCCAAUAUAUUUAGCUGUAGUGCCUUCCAAGACUGCCUUGAUUUAACGUAUCAGCUGUUUAAACAUACCAUGAAUACGCUACAUUAUUUUAUCCAGUUUCAACAUGUUUUAUGUCAACUUUAUUAUGGAGCAAUGAUUGAGUGUAUGGCCAUGGACAUUAAUCAACCAGGGGCAAACUACCUGCCCUCCAGGACACCUACACCACCCGAUGUUACAGGAAUGCCAUAAAGAUCAUCAAGGACAACAACUACCCGAGCCACUGCCUGUUCACCCCGCUAUCAUCCAGAAGGCGAGGUCAGUACAGGUGCAUCAAAGCUGGGACCGAGAGACUGAAAAACAGCUUCUAUCUCAAGGCCAUCAGACUGUUAAACAGCCACCACUAACAUUGAGUGGCUGCUGCCAACACACUGACUCAACUCCAGCCACUUUAAUAAUGGGAAUUGAUGGGAAAUGAUGUAAAAUAUAUCACUAGCCACUUUAAACAAUGCUACCUAAUAUAAUGUUUACAUACCCUACAUUAUUCAUCUCAUAUGUAUAUGUAUAUACUGUACUCUAUAUCAUCUACUGCAUCUUUAUGUAAUACAUGUAUCACUAGCCACUUUAACUAUGCCACUUUGUUUACAUACUCAUCUCAUAUGUAUAUACUGUACUCGAUACCAUCUACUGUAUCUUGCCUAUGCUGCUCUGUACCAUCACUCAUUCAUAUAUCUUUAUGUACAUAUUCUUUAUCCCCCUACACUUGUGUGUGUAUAAGACAGUAGUUUUGGAAUUGUUAGUUAGAUUACUUGUUGGUUAUUACUGCAUUACAAGCAUUUCGCUACACUCGCAUUAACAUCUGCUAACCAUGUGUAUGUGACAAAUAAAAUUUGAUUUGAUUUUUGA